CAUUAAGUGGCUGAAAGAAAGUAAUGGUCUCUUAAACCAAUAAAUAGUAAUUGACAAAUACUCUUAAUGA
rnacentral:tRNA from 1 species